rnacentral:rRNA from 1 species
GACAGCAGUCGCCGCGGUAAUACGAAGGGUGCAAGCGUUAAUCGGAAUUACUGGGCGUAAAGCGCGCGUAGGUGGUUUGGUAAGAUGGAUGUGAAAUCCCCGGGCUCAACCUGGGAACUGCAUCCAUAACUGCCUGACUAGAGUACGGUAGAGGGUGGUGGAAUUUCCUGUGUAGCGGUGAAAUGCGUAGAUAUAGGAAGGAACACCAGUGGCGAAGGCGACCACCUGGACUGAUACUGACACUGAGGUGCGAAAGCGUGGGGAGCAAACAGGAUUAGAUACCCGGGUAGUCCCUGUCUCUUAUAC